UACGUAGGGGGCAAGCGUUGUCCGGAUUUAUUGGGCGUAAAGAGCGUGUAGGCGGCUUUACAGGUCCGUUGUGAAAACUCGAGGCUCAACCUCGAGACGCCGGUGGAAACCGUAAAGCUAGAGUCCGGAAGAGGAGAGUGGAAUUCCUGGUGUAGCGGUGAAAUGCGCAGAUAUCGGGAAGAACACCCGUGGCGAAGGCGGCUCUCUGGAACGCAACUGACGCUGAGACGCGAAAGCGUGGGGAGCAAACAGG
rnacentral:rRNA from 1 species